rnacentral:rRNA from 1 species
GACGAACGCUGGCGGCGUGCUUAACACAUGCAAGUCGAACGGAAAGGCCCUGCUUUUGUGGGGUGCUCGAGUGGCGAACGGGUGAGUUACACGUGAGUAACCUGCCCUUGACUUUGGGAUAACUUCAGGAAACUGGGGCUAAUACCGGAUAGGAGCUCCCGCUGCAUGGUGGGGGUUGGAAAGUUUCGGCGGUUGGGGAUGGACUCGCGGCUUAUCAGCUUGUUGGUGGGGUAGUGGCUUACCAAGGCUUUGACGGGUAGCCGGCCUGAGAGGGUGACCGGCCACAUUGGGACUGAGAUACGGCCCAGACUCCUACGGGAGGCAGCAGUGGGGAAUAUUGCACAAUGGGCGGAAGCCUGAUGCAGCAACGCCGCGUGCGGGAUGACGGCCUUCGGGUUGUAAACCGCUUUCGCCUGUGACGAAGCGUGAGUGACGGUAAUGGGUAAAGAAGCACCGGCUAACUACGUG